GACAGAGGGUGCAAACGUUGUUCGGAAUUACUGGGCGUAAAGGGCUCGUAGGCGGCCAACUAAGUCAGACGUGAAAUCCCUCAGCUUAACUGGGGAACUGCGUCUGAUACUGGAUGGCUUGGAUUUGGGAGAGGGAUGCGGAAUUCCAGGUGUAGCGGUGAAAUGCGUAGAUAUCAGGAAGAACACCCGUGGCGAAGGCGGUUCUCUGGGACGGUACUGACGCUGAGGCGCGAAAGCGUGGGGAGCAAACAGG
rnacentral:rRNA from 1 species